rnacentral:misc_RNA from 1 species
UAAAGAAACAAGACAUUUGAAUAUUAAUACAAUAAAAAUUGAGUGGAGGGCAAACAAACAAUGAAAAAAAAAACAAAUAUUGGUAUCUCUAAAGAAUACAAACCCAACAAAUAUAUUUCCUUUGCCCUUCCCAUGGAUGGAUUUUACAGAUUUGAAUUUCAAAAAUGAAAUAAAUUAAUGAAAGAUUUUACACAGGGGCAGGGAAGAAGAAAAGAAUAUAGGGAAAAAAGAAAAAGAAGAAAGAAAGAAAGAUUAACUUUACAACCCUCAUAUCCUUGACCAGAGAGAUUGAUUGCUGCCUACUUCAAACAAAAAAGAUGAGAAGCUUGAGCUUCCUUAGCCUCACUCUUGUAAAAACUGGAAGGCUGGAUUCCCAAGUAGUUCCUCCGCUGGUUGAACACCCAUAAAAUCUCUCUCUUGCAGUGAAUUUGAAAGGUCAUCAAUAGAGAAUGGGAUGCCAGAAUUGUCAUCCAACAAAAAGGAACUGCUGCCAGCAUCAUUGGAGUCUUCUGUCAUAAGCACCCUCAUGCUGGAAAUGACACCAGGAGACACACUUCGAGUGUUGUAGUUGUCAUCCCAGUACAAUGUACAGAUUCGGUACAGCUGCUGCACACUCAGGAUAGGGCACAGAUCAUUAGUGAUUUCAUCAUAGGAUAUUCUAUACUUCUGAUGUAUAACCAAAAACCCGACAGCCUGUCUUAUGUGCUUUAGCUCAUCCCAAGAUGCGCCAGCAUACUCCUCUUUUGCUUGACAACACCAUAGCUCUAGCUCAGCUAAUCCAGCUUUCACAUAUUCACCAUUGCUAAAUGUACAACACUCUCGUCGCAAGAGAAGACUAUUGAAUAAUUGUACAUUGAUGUAUGAGAAAGUUUGAGUAAAGAUCUUCUGGAUGAGAACUGGGGGCACAAAAU